rnacentral:rRNA from 1 species
CAAUAGCGUAUAUUAAGGUUGUUGCGGUUAAAAAGCUCGUAGUUGGAUUUCUGCUGAGAACGACCGGUCCGCCCUCUGGGUGUGUAUCUGGCUCUUUCUUGGCAUCUUCUUGGUGAACGUUGCUGCACUUGACUGUGCGGAGCGCUACCCAGGACUUUUACUUUGAGGAAAUUAGAGUGUUUCAAGCAGGCAUACGCCUUGAAUACAUUAGCAUGGAAUAAUAAGAUAGGACCUCGGCUCUAUUUUGUUGGUUUCUAGAGCUGAGGUAAUGAUUAAUAGGGAUAGUUGGGGGCAUUCGUAUUUAACUGUCAGGGGUGAAAUUCUUGGAUUUGUUAAAGACGGACUACUGCGAAAGCAUUUGCCAAGGAUGUUUNCAUUG